rnacentral:rRNA from 5 species
ACGAGACUCAUCCGAGGCCUCGUAAUCGGAAUGAGUACACUUUAAAUCCUUUAACAAAAAUCCAUUGGAGGGCAAGUCUGGUGCCAGCAGCCGCGGUAAUUCCAGCUCCAAUAGCGUAUAUUAAAGUUGUUGCGGUUAAAAAGCUCGUAGUCGAAUCUGUGUCCCGCGCUGUCGGUUCACCGCUCGCGGUGUUCAACUGGCAUGUUUUGCGGGACGUCCUACCGGUGGGUCCCAAUUGCAAUCCCGUCGCGGUGCACUUAAUUGUGUGUCGAGGUGGGCCGGUACGUUUACUUUGAACAAAUUAGAGUGCUUAAGGCAGGCUCAAAUUUCGCCUGAAUAUUGUGUGCAUGGAAUAAUGGAAUAGGACCUCGGUUCUAUUUUGUUGGUUUUCGGAACUCCGAGGUAAUGAUUAAUACGGACAGAUGGGGGCAUUCGUAUUGCGACGUUAGAGGUGAAAUUCUUGGAUCGUCGCAAGACGGACAGAAGCGAAAGCAUUUGCCAAAAAUGUUUUGAUUGAUCAAGAACGAAAGUUAGAGGUUCGAAGGCGAUCAGAUACCGCCCUAGUUCUAACCAUAAACGAUGCCAGCUAGCGAUCCGCCGAAGUUCCUCCGAUGACUCGGCGGGCAGCUUCCGGGAAACCAAAGCUUUUGGGUUCCGGGGGAAGUAUGGUUGCAAAGCUGAAACUUAAAGGAAUUGACGGAAGGGCACCACCAGGAGUGGAGCCUGCGGCUUAAUUUGACUCAACACGGGAAACCUCAC